rnacentral:rRNA from 1 species
UACGUAGGGGGCGAGCGUUGUCCGGAUUUAUUGGGCGUAAAGAGCUCGUAGGCGGUUUGGUAAGUUGGAUGUGAAAUCUCCAGGCUCAACUUGGAGGGGUCAUUCGAUACUGCCAUGACUAGAGUUCGGUAGGGGAGUGUGGAAUUCCUGGUGGAGCGGUGAAAUGCGUUGAUAUCCUAAGGAACACCGGUGGCGAAAGCGGCUCACUGGGUCUCUACUGACGCUGAGGCACGAAAGCUAGGGUAGCGAACGGG